rnacentral:lncRNA from 1 species
AUGAACAAAGGUCCCAGCCUUCUCAAUAUCUCCUUUCUUGAAAUUAGACCUAUUUAUAAAGCCACUUGUUGAACCUUGGAACUUGAAAGGCAUCCUUUCCAUGAUUCGUAAUUUAUAAAAAGAAAGAACUUCAAAUAGUAGAUGUAAAUGUGAUCCAUCCAUGAUAUCUGUGGAACUUCCUGAGAUCACUAUGGUGAUGGGUUCCGCUGCAAUUUUAACAUUAGUCAUCUUGAUAAUCAACCUUUCCUUCCUAGUGCGUAUUUGAAUACCUUCUAUGUGCAAAACAAGAAAUUCUAUAUUACCCCGAAAAGUUCCUUUAAAUUAGUAAUCUCAAAAUACUUAUAAUAUGGUUUCUUUUGCAGCGCCUAUCAACGUCGGUUACAAUGGUCACAAAGGGUGUUCUCAAAGAUCACCUAGUUCUGUUAGCCAAUAGCAUGACGUGUGCAGGAAAUCUGGUUGGUUUCAAUGCCGGUGGUAUAAAAGCAUUGUCUCGAUCCCUGAAUGUGCAGAUACCAUUUACUGAAGCAACGCUAUUUGUAAGCCACAUAAGUUUUCUUCUGUUCUAUACAACACUUCGUAUUGACAACUUCUCCUGUGAACUUUCUAAUCAGAGGCCUAUUUUUUUGUUAAUCUUUUUUUAGACCCCAAGAAAAUGCUUUGAGAGGGCUGCUGAGAAGUGUCAUGUCGAUUCUUUGUCAAGUAUUGUGGCUUCUUGCUCCUGGGGAAAGCAUGUGGCAGUUGGUACUGGAUCUCGAUUUGAAAUUCUCUUGAACACGAAAAAUGUAUGUUUUUGCUUUAACAUCUUUUAAUAUUUAUUUGGAAUUGUCUUUAACAAUCGAAAGAAAAUAUUUAUUUGGUAUUGGAGUGUGGUAUAUUUAUUUGAUUGUGUCAUGCCACAGGUUGAUAAAUAUUCAUCAAAAAAAAAGAAACCACCCCCAAAUAGUUAAGAAAUACAUUCAGUUUUGCUCUGAAUAUUCCUUUCAUUCCAGAUGACCAACCAGACUGUUGAAUGAAUUGAGUUCCAUAUUUUCAGUUUUUCCCCCCCUCCUCUAACUCUCCAGCUUUCAGCAACUCCAUUGUUUGACCUUGACAUCAUCCAAUUAGUUCCCACUGUGUAUACAUUCUUAGAAAUAAGAUUACACUUAUGAGCCUCCCAUUUUGUUUAUCCUUGAUUUGGACCUACGUUCUGAAGCUAUUUCUACCGAGUGCUGAAAUUGAAUGUCAAACCCAAGUUGGAUAAGUAGUAAAUAUGGUAGUUAAGAACUGCUAAUGCAUGUUACGAACAGUUAGUACUGUCUGAAAAUUAAGAUUAUGCUUAUGAGCUUCCCAUUUUGUCUGUUCUUGCUGUUGACCAAGUUUUCAAAAACUUGAUGGUUUUAUUGUCAUGAAUAAGGUAAAACGUUUUGAAGAGAUUCUCUUUUCUUAUUGGUGCCAUCUUAAGGUGUCAAAGCAUAUACAUUUUAGUACUAUGCACAAAUUUGCAUUUUCUGUUAUGGCUUCCUGGGUUUAUGCUGGGCUAUUUCUCGGAAUGAAUACUUGAUUCUAAUAUAGUACGCUCAUAAUCGACAGGUGAUCCAAGGGUUUCAAGUGCAAAUAUAGCUUGGAUUUCUCCUGACACAAUGUCUUGGAUUAGGAGUCCUUCCAAGAGUCAAAGAGGUGAAUUAGCUCUGGAUAUUGUUCUCGAGAGAGAAGCUGUUAAGCAAAGGGGAGAUGCUUGGAGGAUUCUUAUGGAUUCCUGUCUUCCUGUCAUCCAUCUGAUAGACACUACGCGCUCCAUUCCAUAUGCAAUAAAGCAAGUCCAAGAACUGAUUGGAAUUUCUUGUGCCUUUGAGCAAGCUGUUAAGGUACCAUUAAAUGCCUCGACUUUCUUUUGUGUAGUAAUGCUCUGUAGGACACACCCUGAGGCAUUCUCAUGAACAAAGGUCCCAGCCUUCUCAAUAUCUCCUUUCUUGAAAUUAGACCUAUUUAUAAAGCCACUUGUUGAACCUUGGAACUUGAAAGGCAUCCUUUCCAUGAUUCGUAAUUUAUAAAAAGAAAGAACUUCAAAUAGUAGAUGUAAAUGUGAUCCAUCCAUGAUAUCUGUGGAACUUCCUGAGAUCACUAUGGUGAUGGGUUCCGCUGCAAUUUUAACAUUAGUCAUCUUGAUAAUCAACCUUUCCUUCCUAGUGCGUAUUUGAAUACCUUCUAUGUGCAAAACAAGAAAUUCUAUAUUACCCCGAAAAGUUCCUUUAAAUUAGUAAUCUCAAAAUACUUAUAAUAUGGUUUCUUUUGCAGCGCCUAUCAACGUCGGUUACAAUGGUCACAAAGGGUGUUCUCAAAGAUCACCUAGUUCUGUUAGCCAAUAGCAUGACGUGUGCAGGAAAUCUGGUUGGUUUCAAUGCCGGUGGUAUAAAAGCAUUGUCUCGAUCCCUGAAUGUGCAGAUACCAUUUACUGAAGCAACGCUAUUU